AGGGGAAGCAGAUGCUGAGUACGCUAAAAUAUCAGAUGUCUACUGCAGCUGUCCCUUCAGGGAACUUACAAUCCAAAGAAAAGGCUGAGGCGAGCAGGACAUUUCAACCCAAGCACAGAGAAUGGAAGCAGGAAAUUAGAAAGAAGAGACAUAGGAUCCUCAAGAAAGGCAUCUUGAAGAUCUGUCCUCAAUACUGGGAGCACAGUGAUGGAGGACACAGAGGUGAAUGAUGGUGAGGUCUUCUGGGAAAGGAACAUUAAAUGAGACAAGUACAGAAAGACUCAAAUGACUUAGAAUUCAUCAGUGAGGAGAGGAGCCCAUUUGGUCUACGUGGGUGAAUGAAUUGAGUCCCCAGGGGACUGGGCGGUAGAUCAAGGUCACCCUCCACUGACCCCUCUACCUGGCUUCUCAGAGGGUCACAGUGGGAACACAUCCCAGCUGCUUAUAGUGGGCUCAUGAGAAGACCUGCAGCCACACAUUACAGAUUGGAUUCUCAGGAAUCAGACUGCACUGCACCAGAGGUUGGCAUGCCCUUGGGAUGAACACCUAAGAAAGGGAGGGGAAGAAUACGAGAAAGAACAGAAGGAGAAGUUGGGUUGAGAUGCAGCUCAACAAUGACCUCAGCUGACCCCACUGGCAGCUCUGAACAAAAAUGGUCUGUCAGUUGUCCCAUACUGGACUGAAAUAACUGGGCAUUUAUAGCCCCUAUGAAUCAGUCAUUGGAUGUGGACCACAUCAGGACACAGUGUGACCUUGUAGGAGCAGCUUUCUGCCAGUGAAACAAUCCCUGAAGGAGAUGACAAUGGAGGCCAUCUGCUGAAUACAUUUCCAGAACCUGGGCCAAUGAGUCCUUCUCCACAAAGGAUCACUGAAGAGAUGGGAGGAGAGACUCAGCUCAGUAAGAAGAAAAUUAGGAGAUACAUAAAGGCUGUUUCCAAAUGAGCUCUACAUGCAAUGAGCUCUCGUGUGGAGCUCAUUUGUUUAUUAUGGUUGAAUCUAGGAACAACUGUGGUAUAUCUACUUACAGGUAGAAAGAUUUCACCUCAAAAGUAAGAUCUUUCAUAGAAGGAGUGCUACCUAAAGGACUGGGAUGUGUCAGUAAGGACUUCAUGCAGGUAUAAAGCAAAGUCUGAAUACAGAGCAAAUCCAAGAGAGAAUAUUAAGUUCCCUUCCAACCUUGAGAUUCAAUGAUUCCAAGAGUCAGAGUAAAGCUUGUAACACAAAAUUGUCACUUAUGCAUCAUUCAUAGGCAGCACUAUCAGUCCUUAGGCACACACAAAAAAAUAUGAAAGUUCUAUUUGCCAUAGCUUCAUGAGAAAAUAGAGUUGCUAAGCAAUAGGAAUACAGACUAGUGACUACAGAAAUGUCCCAACUUCUCAACACCCACCUCACCAACAAACUUUUCUAUCUAUCUAUAUACAUAUAUACAUACCUACCUUCUUACCUACCUAUCUAGCUAUCUGUCUAUGUAGCCACCUAUAUCCUCUCCACUAUUCAGCAGCAAAUGAAACAGUCCAGCAGUACCCAUGCCCCACCUCCAGGCAACAAACCAGAAUUUCUCUUGUGACCUGAUAACAGGACACAGCUAUUCCAAGGCAGCUCAAAUCAACAAACCUAAAACUCAAUUCAACUUUCCUUUGCCUAUAAUCCAUUCCAACCCAUAUUCUUUGUAUAUUCCUUUACUUUGUUAAUGGUGGCACUAUUAACUCAGAUAUCACAAGACAAAAAUGUCAGAAUUCAUGAAUUUUAGAGCCAGGCAUACUUGAUUAUGAAAUUGUCUUUGCCUGUUUACUUACUACGUGGACAUGAACAAGUUACAUAAGUCUCUCUGUGCAUCAACUUUCUUAUUUGUAUCAUUGGGAUAAUACCAACCUCAUCAGGUUGUUUUGAAACAAGAGGGUUCUAUUAGGAAGAAAAAGUAUCAGGAAUUGGAAAAGGACAAAAAAGAGGAGCCGUAAUCAAAGACAACAUUAUCUAUUAUUAAGUUUUUGUUUUGUUUUGUUUGCCAAAUGUUGGCCCAAAGUCUCUAGUUUUUUCCUCCAUCACCCUAUGCCCCUCACAUCAACUUUCUCUUAUUCUCAGACCUUAUUCUAGUAUACCUAAUGCUGUAAGAUAAACAGGGAUUUUCAGUCUCAUGUCCAUGUAGAAAUGCAUUCCAAAUUCCAACCUACUUUUUAUACAACUGCUGCUAAAUUGGUGGUCAAUCAAACAAGAAAUAACAUAACAAAAAGUCAAUUUUAAGUAGGUAUGUAGCUGAACCUACAGCUUCUAAUAUGCUCUCUAGACAGCAUAUUGAAGAUCAAAGAUACAUGCUUAAUCGAAACUCCCCCAUAACUUCACAUCAAUGUUCCACCAGCCAGCGGGAUCCUUUCUUUUUCCACCACAGCACCCUAAUUCUGCCCACAACUUUUCAUUGACUAGAAUACACAAAGUCUUGAUCCUAAGUUUCCUUAACACAGAUGCCUCUUGGACAACUCAUUUAUAAUUCUCUAUAUUCUUAUUAUCAAAUCCAAUAUGCACUGUUUCACGUUUGAAGUUCUCACCACCCACAGGGGAACAUUUAUUAAUAUGCUGGAGCAAUGCCAUAACUCUAUUCAUUAAAAAAGGGAUUUGGCCACUGGA